rnacentral:lncRNA from 1 species
GCACAGAACAGGGCGCAGUCCUUCCCGUAUCGAUUUUCUGGGCAAGUUUUACUACAGUCGGCUCCAAUGAAACCAGGCGCGCAAUCACAAGUUCCCGACACUGGGUCGCAAUGGCCUCCAUUCAUGCAUUUACAGGAUUUUUGGCAGUUUGAACCGUAAGUACCUUCUGGACACCGGCGGUCACACUGGGCCCCGUGGUACCCCAGGCGGCACACGCACCGCCCAGUGAUGGGGUGACAGUCCUCCUCAGCACGGCAGCGACAGGCUUGGCUGCAACUCUGGCCAUACGUGUUUGGUGGACAAGUUUUCUCGCAGCCAUGGCCAGUGAAUCCUGGAGGACAGCUGCACUCACCCGUCAGGUGGUGGCAGGGGGUGCCUGCAGGGCAGUGGCACCG